rnacentral:tRNA from 1 species
GCCGGAGUGGCGGAACGGGCAGACGCGCGGGACUCAAAAUCCCGUGGGGGCAACCCCGUGGGGGUUCGAAGCCCCCCUCCGGCACCA